CGGAUUAGGGCCGGGUUGGUUAGGCGCCUCUUUUGGGAAGAGGAAUACUUAUGUUCAAGUCAUAAUGAUCCGA
rnacentral:tRNA from 1 species